UUGUCUUGGAGUAUUUCUUGAGUGGAGCUUUAGCAUUCACUAUCAUCCUGAGUGUCUUACUGGUUUUCUUACUGUGCAUGAUGAACAAGAGAAACCGCUGUGAAUGUACAGAGUCUCAUGCAAGAUGUUCAGCUCCCACCACAACAAAUGCAGAGGGUGAAAGAAAUGAAGAAAACAUCCAUUACGCGGUUGUAAGGGAACACAGGGUCAACAGAUCUAGAAGACAAAGGAACAUCACAGAGACUGAAUGCACGUACUCAAGUAUAAAGCAGUAGAAGUGUACAUGCUUCCAAGUGUUUCCAAGC